rnacentral:rRNA from 1 species
UCCGCAGGCGGGCUUGUGCGUCCAGGGUUAAAGACCACGGCUCAACCGUGGGAAUGCCCUGGAUACGGCGAGUCUUGAGUACGAGAGAGGUAAGUAGAAUUCCUGGUGUAGCGGUGAAAUGCGUAGAUAUCAGGAGGAAUACCAGUGGCGAAGGCGGCUUACUGGCUCGUUACUGACGCUCAGGGACGAAAGUGUGGGGAGCAAACA